GCGGGCUUGGCCGAAUGGUCAGGCAUUGGCCUUCCAAGCCUCUUACGCGGGUUCGAUUCCCGCAGCCCGCUCCA
rnacentral:tRNA from 1 species